AUCCGAACCUACAUCCGAGCCUAAAAUAAUGUUUAGUUACCGUCACAGAUCCAUCUCGUCCGUCAUCCACUUGUUCUGAUCUAAAACUAAAACCAAGAAGCUACUCAUUCCUCCCAUUCGCAUCUAGCCUCACAGGCGGCGGCGGCUCCCGCCGAGCGCUGAGCGUCGAGCACAUCGGCCCAGGAACACCAACGCUGCGUGCAGCAGCCCCGCUAGGAUCGCCACCGACGCCGCCGUGUUGUACAGGACGAACCCCAUCGGGCUGUCCUUGGGCACAGGUUUUAAUUCUCUCUUUACACAUAUCUUGGUCUUUAAUUCUCUCAUCACCAGCGUAAGGAAGAUGAUUUCUCGAUGGACAUUCACAUGUGAAUUUGGAUGGUACUCCGGAUAUAAAUGUCCAAAUGAAGGUUAUUGGGUUCUCAUGUACAACAUUGCAUAAGUGCUCACUUUAUUCAUGGGUAUCAUAAUUCCUGGAUUCCAAAUCUGAGACGGAUGUUGAUGUUGACUAUAACAGCUUGUACUCAAAGCAGGGCUUUCUACAGGGUGAGGUGCUCGUUUCGUUGUGGCUAGAGUAACUUGUGUACUCUAUCUCAUCGUUUUUAAUUUAUUUAGUUUUCACAACAACUGUUUUGUGAUAUGUGCUAUCACUUGAUACUUAGAUUCAUGCUAUUAGAGAUUCAUACCUCAGGUUUGCAAGAUGUAUGUCCUAAGAUUUUUAUGGCUUUCAUACCUACAUACAUUUGCUUGGUAAAAUAUAUGAACUGAACAUAUAAACGCGGCAUAUAUAGCUAACAACUGUGCCUGGAAAUUCAUGCAUGACAAACAACUUUGCAUACGCUAUAACCCAAACAACUAUUGAUGUGCACUAAUUUAUUGUAUUGUACUUCUAUAAAGGAUGAAAUCAUGUCUGCAAUCGAGAAACACAUAACUGCUUGGACAUUUUUUCUAGGAGGUAAUUUGCAUUGGGUCUUUGCCUCAUGUAGCUAGAUGGAUAUCCUCUGCCUGCAAGUAUAGAUAUGAAAGUAUGUAUAUGAAAUUUUCUGUUCUGGCAUUAGAAUGCCAUGCAUAUGUUCCCUCGGUAGGUUCUGCCACUCUUGAACUUCAGUCUGUACUCAUACAAACAGAAAUUAUGUUUGGUUGCAGCGAGGGGUAUAAUGCCUUUCUUUUCCCAAUGCAAAUGGAAGUCAUGUUACUACAAAAUGGAAGUCAUGUUACUACAAAAUAAUUGUCCUAUCUUGGCAAUUUUCUUUCUUGUGUAAUGAUGGCCCAGAUGUUUAGAUUACUGAUUAGCAGUUUUUCUAUGCAUUAUUCUGAGUUUGUAGACAACAAACAUGGGCGUCUUUUGAUAUUAAUUUUUAGGUCAAAGGUCAGUUGGAAAACAUACCUUUGCAUCAGGUUAGUAUAAGUGAAUGUCUCCUUCAUUGUCA